rnacentral:rRNA from 1 species
GAUGAACGCUAGCUACAGGCUUAACACAUGCAAGUCGAGGGACCGGCGCACGGGUGAGUAACACGUAUCCAACCUGCCCUUUACUCGGGGAUAGCCUUUCGAAAGAAAGAUUAAUACCCGAUGUAAAGGAUGGGGAUGCGUUCCAUUAGGUUGUUGUUGAGGUAACGGCUAACCAAGCCUUCGAUGGAUAGGGGUGCUGAGAUGAAGGUCCCCCACAUUGGAACUGAGACACUGUCCAAACUCCUACGGGAGGCUGCAGUGAGUAAUAUUGGUCAAUGGGCGUUAGCCUGAACCAGCCAAGUAGCGUGAAGUCUGAAGGCUUAUUGGUCGUAAACUUCUUUUAUAUAAGAAUAUGUAGUAUAUGAAUAAGGAUCGGCUAACUACGUGCCAGCAGCCGCGGUAAUAC